UUCUUUUGAUUUUGGGGAAGAUAUAAAGCGAGCAGCACUUUUAAUACAUGCUAGGAAAGCAGAUACAUGCGUAGUUUUGCCUAUAGACUUGUAAAUGCUCCGUACAGGUGAGUAAUGCUUCGGAUUCAAUCAAUUAAACUAUAGAGAUAGAGUUAACCUAAAGGGGAAACUUAGAUAAAUUGAUGGGCCAGAGUCGUAUUAGGUCAAGAAGGUCCUUGAAGUAACCCCAUAACCCUUAGGGUUGUGGGGUUUAAUAAUUAUUUUCUUACCAAAGAUGCGUAGCUGAAAAGCCACACUUCCACUGAAACAAGGGGGAGACUCAGUAUAGAGGCAGCAGUAGAGAAUCUUGUGCAAUGUAUGAAAGUAUGACACAGAGAUGUUGCAAAAGAAGACCGUCCAAUAUACGUGCCAGCAGACGCGGUUAUACGUAAGGUCUAAGUUUUUAUCAGAAAAGGCGUAAAGGGUGUGUCGGCGUUAAUUCGGAUAAAUUUUGAUCAAAAUGAAAUUAGUAGUUUAUUACGAUGAUAAGGAGUUUAGGGGGUAAAUGGAAUUUUAUGUAGCGGUAGAAUGCUUUUAUAUAAAUUAGAACACCGUAGGCGAAAGCGAUUUACUACAAAAAACUGGCGCGGAAACACGAAAGUAAGGGGAGCAAAUAGGAUUAGAUACCCUAGUAGUCCUUACUGUAAAUUAUGAAUACAAGAUCACAAAUUAAAGAUGCGAUAUAAGCCUUUGGAUGAAACCUAUGGGUUAAUUCAGGGGCUGAGCUUUGCUUCGUUUUAUAUGUGGUCAACAAAAACUUAAGAGAAUUCCGCCUGAAGAGUACGAUCGCAAGAUUAAAAUUCAAAAAAUUUGGCGGUUCACUAAUCCAAUUAGAGGAGCGUGUGGUUUAAUUCGAUAGUCCGCGAUUAACCUUACCAAAAUUAGAAGCAAGCGCAGCCUUCAGGAAUUUGUACUUGAAAUGUUGGAUAGUUUAAUUAACCCCUAAAAUUUAAAAAUCUUAGGGGUUAAUUCAGAGACUUAACCCCAUCAAUAGAUCGUAAAUUUAUCCUAGGCCGGCUUGAAUUCAGGUAUUGCAUGGCCGUCGUCAGUUCGUGUUGUGAAAGAAAUAGAACGAACUUAACCCUUAAUCAAAUUAUUAUUUAGCGCAACUUGCCUUUGUAUAAACCCUUUGGGUUAAAUGAUACAUAAGGGUCUUAACCUUAAAAAUUUUUAAGGAGCGAUUUUAGCAAGAUAAAUUAUAUGAUUUAAGGAUGACGUCAGGUCCUUAUGAUCCACAUGUUUUGGGCUACAUAUGCGCUACAAUUUAUACACAAAAAGAAUUUAAAACCUUUAAAGUAAAAGUUCGGAAAACUCUUUGAAAUAAGGAGUAUGAAGUUGGAUUUAAUAGUAAUCAAAAAGUAGAGCGUUUUGGUGAAUAUGGCUCUAGUGUUCGUACAAAUCGCCCGUCAUCUCUACCGAGUAAAGAGUCUUAAAGUGUUAAACUAGAAUUAAUAUAUUUACGUAGCAUGAAGUUUAGCUUUUGGGGAGUUUUAUUCUACGAAUCAAAUGAGAAACCAAAGAAAUGCUAAUUAGAUUCUUCAUGUUAUCAAACUUUGAAAGGAAAUAUAAUCAUUUAUUAAAUCCUAAGAUUUAAAAAUCUUAGGUUUUAAUCUAAAGGCAAAAACGAGUUCGAUUUUAAAUCUGUAUCUUAAGCUUUUAGAAUGAAAGAAAAAAAACCAAAUAUGAGAACUAAAGGGUUAAAACUUUAAUUUAUGGUUUAGCAUCACGGAGGGUUUAUAAGGUUGAGGAAGUCGUAACACAGCGGGGGUAUUGGAAAAUGUCCCCAGAUUAAU
rnacentral:rRNA from 1 species